CUCCAGAAUAGGGCUGUUCACACACCUGACUUCCUCUCCCAGGCCCAGAGCCCAAAAGGGUGGACUUUCUGGGGCUGGCUUCGCUGGAAGAGGAAAGUCUGCUCCGGAGUGAGCUCCCUGAGGGGU